GACAGAGGUGCCGAGCGUUAGGCGGAAUCACUGGGCUUAAAGCGUGUGUAGGGUGGAUGCCUAAGUGCUUUGUGAAAUCCCACGGCUCAACCGUGGAAUUGCUUAGCAUACUGGGUGUCUUGAGCACUUAGGGGUGCUGGAACAAACGGGUAGGAGCGGUGAAAUGCGUAGAAUAUCGUUUGGAAACGCCAAUGGUGAAAACAGCGACUGGGAGUGUGGCUGACACUGAGACACGAAAGCCAGGGGAGCGAAACGGG
rnacentral:rRNA from 1 species